AGCAGUGUGACUUAGUGGAAAGAGCAUGGGCUUGGGAGUCAGAGGUCAUGGGUUCUAAUCCCAGCUCUGCCA
rnacentral:tRNA from 1 species